CAAGUAAAUCAGAUAGUCGCGGGUAUUUUACCCGAGGAAAGUCGGAGCUCCGUAGGGCAAGGUGCUGGAUAACGUCCAGUGGAGGCGACUCCAAGGAAAGUGCCACAGAAAUAAACCGCCGGUAACGGAGGUCAGAGGUCGGAAGUCGGAGGACAGAACUUAGAGAUCGGAGUUAGGAUAAAAGAGCGCUUCUGGCUUGUGACCUUCGUUAACGGUAAGGGUGGAACGGUGAGGUAAGAGCUCACCAGCAAACUGGUAACUGUUUGGCUAGGCAAACCCCACCUGGAGCAAGACCGAAUAGAGGAACAUAAGGUUGCCCGCCUGUUCCCGGGUUAGGUCGCUAGAGGUGCCAGGUAACUGACAUCCCAGAUAGAUGACUAUCAAAUACAGAACUCCGCUUAUAGAUUUGCUUGUUUC
rnacentral:RNase_P_RNA from 2 species